UACGUAGGGUGCGAGCGUUGUCCGGAAUUAUUGGGCGUAAAGAGCUUGUAGGCGGUUUGUCGCGUCUGCCGUGAAAACCCGGGGCUCAACCCCGGGCCUGCAUUCGAUACGGGCAGACUAGAGUUCGGUAGGGGAGUCUGGAAUUCCUGGUGUAGCGGUGAAAUGCGCAGAUAUCAGGAGGAACACCGGUGGCGAAGGCGGGACUCUGGGCCGAUACUGACGCUGAGGAGUGAAAGCGUGGGGAGCGAACAGG
rnacentral:rRNA from 1 species